rnacentral:rRNA from 1 species
AACGAACGCUGGCGGCAGGCCUAACACAUGCAAGUCGAGCGAGGACUUCGGUUCUAGCGGCGGACGGGUGAGUAACGCGUGGGAAUGUGCCCUUCUCUACGGAAUAGCCCUGGGAAACUGGGAGUAAUACCGUAUACGCCCUAUUGGGGAAAGAUUUAUCGGAGAAGGAUCAGCCCGCGUUGGAUUAGGUAGUUGGUGGGGUAAUGGCCUACCAAGCCGACGAUCCGUAGCUGGUUUGAGAGGAUGAUCCGCCACACUGGGACUGAGACACGGCCCAGACUCCUACGGGAGGCAGCAGUGGGGAAUCUUAGACAAUGGGGGCAACCCUGAUCUAGCCAUACCGCGUGAGUGAUGAAGGCCUUAGGGUUGUAAAGCUCUUUCAGCUGGGAAGAUAAUGACGGUACCAGCAGAAGAAGCCCCGGCUAACUCCGUG